UACAUACUACUCAGGAAAAAAAGAACC
rnacentral:piRNA from 1 species